rnacentral:lncRNA from 1 species
UUGAAUCAGUACAUAAUGUAUUUUAUAAUUAAAAUAAAUUAAGUAUAUAGUAUAUAUAUAUAUAUAUAUAUAUAUAUAUAUAUAUAUAUAUAUAGGCUAUACAUAUAUACACAAUACGUUUUUUUUUUUUUUUUCUUUUGGAAAUAAAACUCAUAAUUUUAUUUUUGGACGUGUAAAUGCUUAUUGAGGGAUUAUUGGGGGAAUGGUUAUUGGGGGAUAUAUAUAUAUAUAUAUACUGUAUAUAUGCAUUAUAUACAUAUAUAAAAGUGUAUACAAGAACCCUGAUCAUGUUAUUCCUGAUUGUUUAUCCAUUUGAAUUUAAGGCGAACCAGGAUGUGUUCAAAAUAUCAUGAUAGAACCCUUGCUCACACAAUGACUUCUUUUUAAAAUCAUUAAUUUUUAUAUGAUAUUGUGAUUGCAUGAAUGAACAAGAGCAGCAUUUACUUAACUUCUUAGCCUAGUAGUUAUUCAUAUUGUAAUAUGUAGUUUGGUGAUCUUCAUUACAUCGAAAAAAAGGCACUUUUAAGAGCCACAUUUGUUUUGUAUCUUGUUACUCUCUCUACUGUUGUAUUGUGUUCUCUCUCUCUCUUGCUGUCUUACUGUCUCUCCCUCCCCUCUGAGUGGGGUUUUUGUUUGUUUGUUUUGUCUUUUUUUGUCCCUGAGUGUUUAUAGUGUGUUUAUAUUUUGUGCCAUGUCUGAUCUUGAGAUGGACCGUCUCCUGAAUGAGAUGAGUGACCUUGUCGAUCAGGCUGAACAUCAAGCUCACCUCCAACAGCUCAUUAGCAUGCACCAGGAAGCAGAACCAUCCACCGGUCAGCCUUCCACCAGUAAUCCAUCCACCAGCCGGCCAUCAAAAAGCAAGCAAGACGUUAGGUGGAUUAAGAGGGACAGUGAUGGAAACAUUAUUUACGGCAGGCCCAGAUCAUCCCGGAAACAAGCAGCAGGUCCCAGUCACAGCCAGAGUCGAAAGACUGGUGUCUCUCAUAUCAGGGCUCCUGAAACCAGUGCGGAAAUGACCAGUGACUUUCCUUCCGUUACUGCAGAGUCCUUCCUUCAAGAGCUUAAAAGCUCACUGUUUGAGGAAAUACAUGAGGAUGAAACGGUACUUCAAGCCUCAACAGACUGGUCGACCCGAAAGAGCCUCAUAUCAGGGUGGUGGGAGAAAGAGAGACCCCGACUGGUCAACACCAUGGUGGCUCGACAACAUGCGGCAACUCGGAUCUGCCAACAUUGUGGAAAUGGUCCAGCCGUAGUUUUUAAAAGUUACACAUUCUUUAGACUUGACUGA